rnacentral:rRNA from 1 species
UUCGGGCGCCGGCGAGUGGCGAACGGGUGAGUAACACGUAGAGACCUAUCCUUUGGUGGGGGACAACAGCUGGAAACGGCUGCUAAUACCGCAUACGCCCUACGGGGGAAAGAUUUAUUGCCGAAGGAGGGUUCCGCGUCGGAUUAGCUAGUUGGUGGGGUAACGGCCUACCAAGGCGACGAUCCGUAGCUGGUCUUAGAGGAUGAUCAGCCACACUGGGACUGAGACACGGCCCAGACUCCUACGGGAGGCAGCAGUGGGGAAUAUUGCGCAAUGGGGGAAACCCUGACGCAGCGAUGCCGCGUGGGUGAAGAAGGCCUUAGGGUUGUAAAGCCCUUUCAGUGGGAACGAUAGUGACGGUACCCACAGAAGAAGCCCCGGCUAACUCCGUGCCAGCAGCCGCGGUAAUACGGAGGGGGCGAGCGUUGUUCGGAAUUAUUGGGCGUAAAGCGCGCGUAGGCGGUUUAUCAAG